CAGAGGGUGCAAGCGUUAAUCGGAAUGACUGGGCGUAAAGGGUGCGUAGGUGGCCUAUUAAGUUAGUUGUGAAAUCCCCGGGCUUAACCUGGGAACUGCAAAUGAUACUGGUAAGCUAGAGUUUGGUAGAGGAUAGUGGAAUUUCCGGUGUAGCGGUGAAAUGCGUAGAUAUCGGAAGGAACACCAGUGGCGAAGGCGACUAUCUGGCCCAAAACUGACACUGAGGCACGAAAGCGUGGGUAGCGAACAGGAUUAGAUACCCUGGUAGUCCACGCCGUAAACGAUGAGAACUAGAUGAGUGGAUACGGUUAAACCUAUUUGGUAUCGAAGCUAACGCGUUAAGUUCUCCGCCUGGGGAGUACGGUCGCAAGAUUA
rnacentral:rRNA from 1 species